AGAGUUUGAUCAUGGCUCAGAAUCAACGCUGGCGGCGUGCCUAACACAUGCAAGUCGAACGCGAAAGGGGAGCAAUCCCUGAGUAGAGUGGCAAACGGGUGAGUAACACGUGGGUGACCUGCCUUCGAGUGGGGGAUAACGUUCCGAAAGGAGCGCUAAUACCGCAUGACAUCCUGCCUUUGGACAGGCGGUGAUCAAAGCUGGGGAUCGCAAGACCUAGCGCUUGAAGAGGGGCCCGCGCCUGAUUAGCUAGUUGGUGAGGUAACGGCUCACCAAGGCGACGAUCAGUGUCCGGCCUGAGAGGGCGGACGGACACACUGGGACUGAGACACGGCCCAGACUCCUACGGGAGGUAGCAGUGGGGAAUUGUUCGCAAUGGGCGCAAGCCUGACGACGCAACGCCGCGUGGAGGACGAAGAUCUUCGGGUCGUAAACUCCUGUCGAGCGGGACGAAUGCUUUGCGGCUGAAUAAUCCGCAGAGGUGACGGUACCGCUAAAGGAAGCCCCGGCUAACUCCGUGCCAGCAGCAGCGGCGGUAAUUC
rnacentral:rRNA from 1 species